CUUCUGGACUUGACGCUUCCGUCCAUUCUUGAACUGGUGCAUCAACAUUACGUUCGUCCUCGAUAAUCAUGUUAUGCAUUAUUAUGCAUGUAGUCAUGAUAUCAUGUAAUACUUGUUUUUCCCAAAACCUUGCGGGUCCUUUCGUUAUUGCAAACUUCGAUUGUAGAACACCAAAUGCACGUUCAACAUCUUUUCUACACGCUUCUUGUUUCAUAGCAAAUAACUUUUUUUUAGGACCACGUGGCUCAUGAAUUGUUUGCACAAUAGUAGACCAUUUUGGGUAUAUACUAUCAGCUAGAUAGUAACCCAUGUUAUAUUGUCUUCCUUGAAUGACGUAUUGAGCUGGAGGAGCAAUACCUUGAGUGAGGUUUGCGAAAAGAUGAGAUCUCUCCAAAACGUUGAUAUCGUUGUUCGAACCAGGAAGUCCAAAAUAUGCAUGCCAUAUCCAAAGAUCAUAAUCAGCUACAGCUUCGAGGAUAAUAGUUGGGGAUCCACUACGACCUGCAUAUUGUCCUGCCCAUGCGGUUGGACAAUUUUUCCAUUUCCAAUGCAUACAAUCUAGACUGCCCAACAUUCCGGGAAAACCACGUUGUUUAUUAACAUGGAGUAGUCUCUCAAUGUCAUUCGCAGUAGGUGAUCUUAGAUAUUGCUCAGCAAAUAUUUCGACAACGGCACGACAAAAUCUCUUCAAACUUUCAAUGACGGUAGAUUCACCUAUUUUAAUAUACUCAUCAGUAGAAUCUGCUGACACGCCAUAUGCCAACAUCCGAAACACUGCCGUUAUCUUUUGAUGACUAGACAAUCCGAGUCUACCUAGUCCAUCUUGUUUCUGCACAAAAUAAUUGUCAUGACCUUCCACCGCCGUUAGUAUUCGACCAAAUAAAUGUCGAGACAUUCGAAAUCGUCGACGGAACAUAUUUUCAUUGAAACGUGGGUUUUCAGCAAAGUAGUCGUUGAAGAGAUUUACAUCAGCGAUUUGUCGAUCACGAUCGAUGGUUCUACGACCCUGAAUGGAGCCUCCAUGUGGCCUUUUGUAAACAUGUUGAGUAGCGUACUGAGCUAUGAGUAGGUUUCUAUUCGAACAUAGACGAGUAAUAGCUUGUUGUCGUUCUUCAAGAAAAUCAUUAUCAUUUUCUCCAUCGGACAAUGACGAUGAAUUUGAAUCAGACACAUAAGAGGGACCUCCAAUAUUGAAAUUCAUUUUUGAGUAGUAUGAUUGAGGGAUGAGGAUUGCUCGACCUCAAUACUGCCUUUUAUUGUUGCAGAAUACGUGGUCCACCGUU
rnacentral:lncRNA from 1 species